GCUUUUUGGCAUUUCUUGGGCCGCUCCUGCAGCAUAUGGAGGUUCCCAGGCUAGGGGUCUAAUCGGAGCUGUAGCCACCAGCCUACGCCGGAGCCACAGCAACGCAGGAUCUGAGCCCGUCUGCAACCUACACCACAGCUCACAGCAACGCCGGAUCGUUAACCCGCUGAGCAAGGGCAGGGAUCGAACCCUCAACCUCAUGGUUCCUAGUCGGAUUCGUUAACCACUGUGCCACGACGGGAACUCCAUUAAGUUGGCUUAAGAAAAUUAUAAUGGAGCCAGUUUCUAGCAGCAUAGUAGAAUACAAAUAAGCAGUGGCUUUGUCAUCAGAUUUGCAUUCAAAUUCCCCCAUCACUUUCUAUCUGUGUACUUUUGCAUAGAUUUCUCAGCUCUCACCUCUGUUUCUUAAUUUCUGCAACCCACUUAUUAGUUACCCAUGAACAACCUCUGUAUUUGCUCCAUGGUAAUCUUGAGUAAAAUUCAACACUACUACUCAUCUCCCACAAAAGAAAGACCACCCCACGGAGCAUAAAUGGAUAAUGUAAAUUUAGCUGAAGAUAGCUUGGGGAUGUGGAAAAAGGUUCUCCCCUUUUAGAUCUUCAGUUCUUCCAAGCAACACACCCUAGAUUCUAUAUCUUCAUUUCUUUACAAAGCAGUAUAUCCAGGAUCCCUCUGGGUUAAAUGCUCACAUCUAUUACUCACCCAGUUUCCUAAACACUUCGUAGUUUUCAAGUUCCAACCUUCUUAGGGAUGAGUAGAGAGGCAUCAAUAACAAAUCACGUGAUUAAUAAAUAAAAGCACAUGUGCACACAUUUUCAAGGGGGAAAGGAGAGCUUUUUAUUCCCUUCAUUGUAUCAUGUGAGGAUUCCCUUCAGAAGCUGUAAAAUCAUUCUGUUUUGGCUUUCCUCUUUGUUAUUUUUCUUAGAAGAUGUGAGUAAUAAAGUUACAUAUGUUUCAGAAGCAUCAUGCACUUGUUACUUUCAUUUUUUUUUAUUCCACAUCCGUCUGCUUGGUAGAAAAAUGCUACUUAGAAAACAACAGGAGGUAAAAAGUCAGAUGCAGCUUAGGGACACACAGAGGGAAGGCUUCUGUGUGGGCUGGAUCACAUAUGUGGAAUACGAAUGGUGAAUAAAAUCAUUCUUUCAUCUCAUGAUGAGAUAAACUCAGACCUCAGUUACCCCAUUGUCCCACAGAGGAAACAACUGUGAUCCAUCCUUAAGACUGCGCUGCAAGCUUCAAAAGACAACCAAAGACAGGAAAAUUCCACUAAUGGCUAUCUGUCUCCUCUGAGUGACAAUAAGAUAGUUCCAAAUCAAACGCAGCAUCAGGACUUAUUUCAUACAAACAAAAGGAUAGAUUACACUAAAAUUUUUUAAAGAAAAUUUUAUUUCAAAAUAGAUUUCCUGGCUGGGUUUUAGGAAGACUGUUCUCAAAAAAAAAAAAUGUGUUAUUUAUAGUCCUUUUUGGAAAACUAGUUAGGUUUUAUGCAUAGUAUGGAUAACCACAGAUGGCAGUAAAGUGUAUAAUGUAUGCAAAGAGGAAUGGUUCCAGGCUGAUAUUUUUUCCCUGGAAAACUUUCUAAUAUUUCCACAUUAAUAAUGGACCAUUAUCUAGAAAUCGAAGCUGCUAAGUCCAAACACCAUAGGAUUUGUAGUUUUGCUUUGAAUGUGUGCUUGCAAUUAUCCAGCUGCAAGUUAAAUGCAGUGUAGCCUAUGGCUUCCCAAGCUGAGUUUUUGCUUUUAUUUCUAGCCAAUUGACCUGUGCUCUAGUUUUUGACUGGAACAUUAGUCUACAAAAAUGUCCUGGAUGAAUGAGAUGACACUGCCACCAAACCCUAAGUUCCAACGCUCAGGCUGGAAGUCUAACCUCUAAUUUACUCUAGUCCCAGGCUGAUUAGACCCAUUAUUUAAUGAAGUCUCUCUUGGUUGUCCGUCUAUCAAAUUAUUUGUAUUCAUGGAGAGAAAGUGAUAAGCCAAAAUGCUAAUUAUCCAUUUUUCUAAAAUAAAGUGUCCAUGCUAAGAAUAACAAUGAGUUAUUAAAAGAGCACUUUUCAUCUAACAUAUUAUAUCUUAACAAGCUCUUUAAAUCCAGGGGUUUUCAUUGCUGGACAUCUUAUCUAAUAAAAAGGAAGAUGUUUACCUUCUAUCUAUUCUUUCAGCACUGGGCUACAGCUUUCGAAUUUG
rnacentral:lncRNA from 1 species